ensembl:lncRNA
GUAAGUGUCUACCUGGGUUAUUUGUGUAUUGUGUGUUUUUUAUUUAGUAUUGAACUACAAACAAUGCAUGUGUACUGCAUGUGUCAUUCAAGUGAAGAUUAACUGACUUAUUUUACGGUCAUAUAUAUAUAUAACAGCCCAGGACCUCUUUGAAACUGACUACAAAAAAAAUGAUUUCUGUGUCCUCCCCCAAAAGACUAUUGAUUCGCACCAAUUGUAGGUGAACAUAAUCAUUUAUCUUCCCCGAAGCUUGGGCUGUGUAAAGUUAAAAGUUGAAAGGCCUCAACUUUCUCAGGUCGGCACCUCUGCAGCGCUUGAACACACCCUGGGAGAGGCUCUCCUUCUGUCUCCCUUUUUUUAUCCUCUCAUAGGGCAACUUUCAGCCACUGCCACUUAGUGACUUUCUAAAACAAAUGGAGUGUCGAGCCCUUUUAGCCCAGAUGAAUCAUCUGCAGGUAGCCGGAGCGUUUUUCUCCGCGGCAGCAGCAGCCCCAUAUGUUAUCUCCUCGCACUUCAGCGCGGUGAACAAUGCGAAGGUCAGAUGGGUGGGCAGAGUUUUCCAACAAAGAGCAGCUCGGGGGACUCAGGCGCCUAAUCUACUGCAGACAGACCACAAGCGCAAUGUGCAACUUAUCUGGGACCUGAAUGCAAAAUAGCAUGACCGAACAUCUCAAUCAGGGCAAUACUGAAGUACACUCAGUUAGCAUUUAAUGCUAUACAAAAAGCUCUCAGGCAGGAUCGCUAUACCUGUGGGUGUCCAGUGACUGGAGGGCACUCCAUUUCCAUUAAUAUUGUAUUCAGAUGAAUCGACUUAGUUACAUGUCAGCAUGGUACUCCAGCAUACCUCAUCUGCACCUUUUAUCAUUUUAUACUCAAGUUCAUUUAGCACUUAAUACUAUAUGAGUGCUUUAAGACAACAUUUAGUAUUGGUGCUGUCAGUAUUUAGAAUUUAUUUUGUAUGUAUCAUUAAUAUUUGGGAGAUUUUUUAAAAGAGAUUGAUAACAGCAUACCCCUUUUAUUAUGAGUGAUCCCCAUAUAAUGGUGUGUUUUGCACUUCUGUGUUAUAAUUUCAAAUCGGACCACCUCUUCCAUUUCCUCUUCUUUGAUGAAAGGGAUUUCAUGGCCGUGAGGCUCUCUAAACUGACCUGGGUUUUCAUCUUUACAGCUGUUGGACAGGCCCUCUCUGGCUUCAUAUGAUCAUUUUCGUGAGUGUUGAUACUGUUAGUGGUGGUAGCAUGUCCUCUCUAUGUCUUUUCUUUGCUGUGUCUUGAUCCUAAGGAUAAGCCUUCCAGACACAUCUUUAGAAUAGGAGGCAUAAUCAGAUACAUUUGAUUCACAUUUACUCAUUCUGGCUCUGUCACAGUGGCCUGAAUGCUUUUCUCAGAGACAAACCUAUAAGGGUUCUUACACACUAGAGCUUUUGGUGAGGGUCCGCUUGAGUCGUGAGUUACGUUGGUUUUGUUGAUGUGAAAGCUAUUUAAAACCAGGAAGUAAGCGCUUUUUAUGACUGCUGAUGGAUCCAAAUUGUCUCACAAUAAAUACAUCAAUGUUAAAUAUGAAAUUAUUUAUUAACAUGCAAUUUUCUAAAAUGCUAACAGUCUUGAAAAAAGUGACUAAAGGACAGCUAAUGGUGGCAAUUUAUGCUUGAGAGUAUGCAUGCUCUGCUUGAGGGUAUAGCUGCUCUGCUUGAGAGUAUGCAUGCUCUGCUUGAGAGUAUGCAUGCUCUGCUUGAGGGUAUAGCUGCUCUGCUUGAGGGUAUAGCUGCUCUGCUUGAGGGUAUAGAUGUUCUGCUUGAGGGUAUAGAUGCUCUGCUUGGGGGUAUAGCUGUUCUGCUUGAGGGUAUAGCUGUUCUGCUUGAGGUUUUGCAUGCUGUGCUUGAGGGUAUAGGUGCUCUGCUUGGGGGUAUAGCUGCUCUGCUUGAGGGUAUAGCUGCUCUGCUUGAGGGUGCAUGCUGCAUCUCGCUUUGCCUCCUGUUUUCUGCA